rnacentral:ncRNA from 1 species
CUUUUUGAGAGUUUGAUCCUGGCUCAGGAUGAACGCUGGCGGCGUGCCUUAAGCAUGCAAGUCGAACGAUUCUAGUAGCAAUACUAAUUUAGUGGCAGACGGGUGAGGAAUAUACAGGAAUCUACCUCUUGGUGGGGGAUAGCUCGCCGAAAGGCGGGGUAAUACCCCAUGAGGUCUACGGAUCAAAGACCUUAACUGGUCGCCGGGAGAGGAGCCUGUAUCCUAUCAGCUAGUUGGUGAGGUAAUGGCUCACCAAGGCUACGACGGGUAGGGGGCGUGAGAGCGUGGCCCCCCACAAGGACACUGAGACACGGGUCCUACACCUACGGGUGGCAGCAACUGGGAAUCUUGCGCAAUGGACGAAAGUCUGACGCAGCGACGCCGCGU